GUCACGCCGUAAACGAUGUCUACUAGCCGUUGGGACUCUUGAAGUCUUAGUGGCGCAGCUAACGCACUAAGUAGACCGCCUGGGGAGUACGGCCGCAAGGUUAAAACUCAAAUGAAUUGACGGGGGCCCGCACAAGCGGUGGAGCAUGUGGUUUAAUUCGACGCAACGCGAAGAACCUUACCUGGCCUUGACAUGCAGAGAACUUUCCAGAGAUGGAUUGGUGCCUUCGGGAACUCUGACACA
rnacentral:rRNA from 1 species